UAGGGAAUCUUCGGCAAUGGGGGCAACCCUGACCGAGCAACGCCGCGUGAGUGAAGAAGGUUUUCGGAUCGUAAAGCUCUGUUGUAAGAGAAGAACGUGUGUGAGAGUGGAAAGUUCACACAGUGACGGUAACUUGCCAGAAAGGGACGGCUAAAUACGUGCCAC
rnacentral:rRNA from 1 species